rnacentral:rRNA from 1 species
UACGUAGGGUGCGAGCGUUAAUCGGAAUUACUGGGCGUAAAGCGUGCGCAGGCGGUUCGUUAAGUCAGAUGUGAAAGCCCCGGGCUCAACCUGGGAACUGCAUUUGAAACUGGCGGGCUUGAGUAUGGCAGAGGGGGGUGGAAUUCCGCGUGUAGCAGUGAAAUGCGUAGAGAUGCGGAGGAACACCGAUGGCGAAGGCAGCCCCCUGGGCCAAUACUGACGCUGAGGCGCGAAAGCGUGGGGAGCAAACAGG